rnacentral:pre_miRNA from 1 species
GUUUUUCUCCUGGUUUUCACUGUAGGCCUGUAUGUUCUAUUACCGGAUUUCAUAAGGCACGCGGUGAAUGCCAAGAGCGAACGA